AAAUUGAUGGGUUGCCCAGCAUGGGUGGUCCCCAUGGUAAUAUGGGUCAAAUGGGCAACCUAAACCUACCCAUGAGUCAAAUGGGCAGCGUGUCCAUGGGCCAAAUGGGAAACAUUCCUGCCGUUCAAGGACUGCCGGCUGCAGCUGCCAUGAGCGGCGGAGGCGGUGGCCCCAAUGGGUACUUCCAGGGAGCCGGGCCAGAUCUCAUGCCUGGUAAUCCAUAUCAUCAGCAGCAGCAACAACAACAACAGUACGUGCAAGCAUUAAUGAACCAACAGAGGGCAAUGGGUAAUGAGAGGUUUCAACCCAUGAUGUAUGCGAGGCCCCCACCUGCAGUCAAUUACAUGCCUCCAUACCCGUACCCGUACCCGUAUCCGCC
rnacentral:lncRNA from 1 species